UUUCCUUAUUUAAAAAUUCAGCAUUAAAAGAAUGACCAUUGAGGUUAGCGUGUGCCGGGGGUGCUGGGGGCUCGAGAACUGAGCGGAGCUGGUUGAGCCUUGAAAGUGCUAAAACGCGCGGCCGUGUUAUUGAUUGAAUUCCAGCGGCGCGGGAGCCUCUGCAGAGAACGCGAGAGAUGAAGAUGGGCAGACGGAUUCAUUUAGAGCUGCGGAACAGGACGCCCUCUGAUGUGAAAGAACUUGUCCUGGACAACAGUCGGUCGAAUGAAGGCAAACUCGAAGGCCUCACAGAUGAAUCUGAAUAACUGGAAUUCUUCAGUGCAACCAACGUAGGCCUCACCUCAACUGCAAACUUACCGAAGUUAAACAAACUUAAGAAGCUUGAACUAAGCGAUAACAGAGUCUCGGGGGGCGUGGAAGCAUUGGCAGAAAAGUGUCCGAACCUCACGCAUCUAAAUUUAUGUGGCAACAAAAUUAAAGACCUCAGCACAACAGAGCCACUGAAAAACUUAGAAAACCUCAAGAGCUUAGACCUUUUCAAUUGCGAGGUAACCAACCUGAACGACUACCGAGAAAAUGUGUUCAAGCUCCUCCUGCAACUCACAUAUCUUGACGGCUAUGACCGGGACGACAAGGAGGCCCCUAACUUGGAUGCUGAGGGCUACGUGGAGGGCCUGGAGGAGGAGGAGGAGGAUGAGGAUGAGGAGGAGUAUGACGAAGAUGCUCAGGUAGUGGAGGACGAGGAGGAGGAGGAAGGUGAAGAGGAGGACGUGAGUGGAGAGGAGGAGGAGGAUGAAAAAGGUUAUAACGAUGGAGAGGUUGAUGAUGAGGAAGAUGAAGAAGAGCUCCGUGAAGAAGAAAGGGGUCAGAAGCGAAAAGGAGAACCUGAAGAUGAGGGAGAAGAUGAUGACUAAGUGGAAUAACCUAUUUUGAAAAAUUCCUAUUGUGAUUUGACUGUUUUUACCCAUAUCCCCUCCCCCGCUCCAAUCCUGCCCCCUGAAACUUAUUUUUUUUUCUGAUUGUAACGUUGCUGUGGGAACGAGAGGGG